UUUGGAAAUUGCAAAGAUGUUUUGCUGAAUUCGUUCGUGUAAGGAAAAUAAAAAGAGAAAUAGUCUUUUUAAAGCUUGCAUAGAAAAGAUGUUUAAUAAUUGGCUCAUGAGUGGCAUUGCACAAGAGACAUUAACGAGUUCACCAAAAAUAGCUAAAUCUGUCAAAAGCAUUUCCAGGAAAAUAUAAGAAAUAAUAAGAGAAGUUGUUUUCCAAAUAGCAGAUGGUUCGGCUGUACCACAAAAAAAAACCAUUGUUGAAGGAAUAUGUUAUUUCGUCUAUUUUUCUACCAGAGAAAUUCGGUUCAGACAAUUUUUGUCAUAUAAACCCUAUAUACGAAGAAAAAUGAAGGGAACAACGAUGGAACAAAUAGAGAGAUGAGUGUUGUGGAUCUCCUACAAAGUAGUUGUUCAUUGUUCUGUUACUACUGAUGAAUCUGUGUUGCACAAUUAUGUCACACAUAACGAACAAAGUUGUCCACCAAACAGAGAUAACGAAGACUUGCAAACAUGGGCUGAAGUAAUCGCUGAUUUAAAAAAGCUUACCCUUCCAUCGAGGUACUUUCCAUCAUUAAAGAAGAAUGAGUAAUGGACUUGCGGUCGGAAGACUUGACUUACUGCAUACGACGUGUUUUAUUAGAGAAAAAUAUGACAUUUUGUAUUUUUAUUAGAGACAGAAAUAAAUUUUCCUAGUGGGAAAAUUGAACAUAUAAACGACAUCCAGAAUCUUCUUCAAAAAGUUUCAAAUAUUUAUCCAUAAAGUCGUCAGUGAAACUCGUAUUGAAAGCUGUCUUGGAUAUAUUUCGAAAGAUUGCACAGUACGUGGUGUACAACGUGAAAGAUGUGCUUCGUGUGUUAAACACAAAAAUUGUGUAAGAAAGUCAAUGAGGCCAACACCAAUGCACAGAUUAUCAAAACAAAGCAAAAUUUUACGCGAUAUAAAAAUAUGUAUGAGAAAAAUGCUAGACUUCGGAAGAAGAGCUACUACGAUUGAAAAAGGAAGUAGAAAGUUUAAGGACCGAAUGCACUCGAACAAGUACACAAGCAGUGGAAGAAGCUGUAUCGAAACUACCUGUUAAUGAACAACUAUCUGUACAAGCAUGCUUUGCAGCAUCCAAAGUAAAGAACAUUAAAGACAUGAGAUAUACCACCCAAUGGGUGUAUGAAUGCUUAUUGUAGUGAAUUAAAAGCAAAAAAACGUAUAAUUAUCUCAGAAGUACUUACUCUACCAUGUAUAAAUACAUUAAAUCGAUAUAUUAAAGCGAUAAAAGGAUACUAUGAUUUCCAGGAAAAUAUUUUUAAACUUUUAAAAGAAAAAAGUGUGAAAAUGGAGUCGUUUGUUG